rnacentral:rRNA from 1 species
GCUCAAAUUUGGAAUCUGGGUGGGCAACGCCAGCUCUCACCCCGAAUUGUAAUUUAAAGAGGUACGAUCCGUCAGGCGGCAUGCCUUGGUCCAAUUCAGGUGGAAUACUGAGCCACAGAGGGUGAUAGCCCCGUAGGACCUUGCGCUGACUGUCCACUGUGACGUAUCUUCAACGAGUCGUAUUGUUUGGGAUUGCAAUACAAAAUGGGUGGUAAGCUCCAUCUAAAGCUAAAUACUGGCGAGAGACCGAUAGCGAACAAGUACCGUGAGGGAAAGAUGAAAAGCACUCUGAAGAGAGAGUGAAAUAGUACGUGAAAUUGUUGUAAGGGAAACGUUUGGGACCCGACAGUUGCAGUGCGGGGGUGGUUGCUCACCAGGUCCUUCGGGAUCUGGGGAUUCUCUAUGCCCUCGCGCUCAGGCCAACAUCAGUUUUCGUAAGGGUGUCAGAAAGGCGCUUGGGAAGGUAGGUAGAUCUUCGGGUUUACUGUUAUAGCCCUUGUCGUUGGAUAGUCGGCCCUGGAGACUGAGGACUGCGGCGCGCUUUCGUAUUGGGCGGCUGUUACUUGGGUGGACUAGCUGUAAGUGUCAGUCUGACUGGGCUUGCUGACUAGGCCAUCCAUUGACGGUGUCCAAUGCCGCGCGCCAAGGAUGUUGGUGGUAACGGUCCUAACCGACC